rnacentral:rRNA from 1 species
GAGAGUUCGAUCCUGGCUCAGGAUGAACGCUGGCGGCAGGCUUAAUACAUGCAAGUCGAACGGUAAGGCCGAGUGCAGCAAUGCAUGAGGCACACGAGUGGCGCACGGGUGCGUAACGCGUAUGCAACCUGCCCCGCACCGGGACAAAACAGCUGGAAACGGCUGCUAAUAUCCCAUGGCCAUGCGGAAGGGCAUCCUUCUGCAUGUAAAGAUUCAUUGGUGCGGGAUGGGCAUGCGUAUUAUUAGGUAGUUGGCGGGGUAACGGCCCACCAAGCCGACGAUGAUUAGGGGUCCUGAGAGGGUUAACCCCCACACUGGAACUGAGACACGGUCCAGACUCCUACGGGAGGCAGCAGUAGGGAAUAUUGGGCAAUGGAGGCAACUCUGACCCAGCCAUGCCGCGUGAAGGAAGACGGCCCUAUGGGUUGUAAACUUCUUUUGCCGCAGAGUAAACCCGGCCACGUGUGGCCGGUUGAGAGUAUGCGGCGAAUAAGUAUCGGCUAACUCCGUGCCAGCAGCCGCGGUAAUACGGAGGAUACAAGCGUUAUCCGGAUUUAUUGGGUUUAAAGGGUGCGCAGGCGGACCGUUAAGUCAGGGGUGAAAAGUUCGUGCUUAACAUGAAUCGUGCCUUUGAUACUGGCGGACUAGAGUGCGAUAGGCGUGGCCGGAAUGUGGUGUGUAGCGGUGAAAUGCUUAGAUAUGCCACAGAACACCGAUCGAGAAGUCAGGUCACGAGUUCGCAACUGACGCUCAUGCACGAAAGCGUGGGGAUCAAACAGGAUUAGAUACCCUGGUAGUCCACGCCGUAAACGAUGAUCACUCGUUGCCGGGCGGUGACGUUCGGUGGCCAAGCGAAAGCGAUAAGUGAUCCACCUGGGGAGUACGAUCGCAAGGUUGAAACUCAAAGGAAUUGACGGGGGCCCGCACAAGCGGAGGAGCAUGUGGUUUAAUUCGAUGAUACGCGAGGAACCUUACCCGGGCUUGAACGUAAGACCAAGGCACAGGAGACUGUGUCGCCUUCGGGGGUUUUGCGAGGUGCUGCAUGGUUGUCGUCAGCUCGUGCCGUGAGGUGUUAGGUUAAGUCCUGCAACGAGCGCAACCCUUACCUUCAGUUGCCAGCACGUAAUGGUGGGGACUCUGGAGGAACUGCCUACGCAAGUAGAGAGGAAGGUGGGGAUGACGUCAAAUCAGCACGGCCCUUAUGUCCGGGGCUACACACGUGCUACAAUGGCGCGCACAGAGGGCAGCGACCCCGCGAGGGGGAGCGAAUCCAUGAAAGCGCGUCUCAGUCCGGAUCGGAGUCUGGAACCCGACUCCGUGAAGUUGGAUUCGCUAGUAAUCGCGCAUCAGCCAUGACGCGGUGAAUACGUUCCCGGGCCUUGUACACACCGCCCGUCAAGCCAUGGAAGAUGGUGGUACCUGAAGUCUGUACCCGCAAGGAGCGGCCUAAGGUAAAACUGUUAACUGGGGCUAAGUCGUAACAAGGUAGCCGUACCGGAAGGUGUGGCUGGAAUACCUCCUUUCU